GUACACAAAAAUGCACAUGCUGUGAGCUCGAUGAGUAGGGCGGGACACGUGGUAUCCUGUCUGAAUAUGGGGGGACCAUCCUCCAAGGCUAAAUACUCCUGACUGACCGAUAGUGAACCAGUACCGUGAGGGAAAGGCGAAAAGAACCCCGGCGAGGGGAGUGAAAAAGAACCUGAAACCGUGUACGUACAAGCAGUGGGAGCACAGAGCAAUCUGUGUGACUGCGUACCUUUUGUAUAAUGGGUCAGCGACUUAUAUUCUGUAGCAAGGUUAACCGAAUAGGGGAGCCGAAGGGAAACCGAGUCUUAACUGGGCGUUAAGUUGCAGGGUAUAGACCCGAAACCCGGUGAUCUAGCCAUGGGCAGGUUGAAGGUUGGGUAACACUAACUGGAGGACCGAACCGACUAAUGUUGAAAAAUUAGCGGAUGACUUGUGGCUGGGGGUGAAAGGCCAAUCAAACCGGGAGAUAGCUGGUUCUCCCCGAAAGCUAUUUAGGUAGCGCCUCGUGAAUUCAUCUCCGGGGGUAGAGCACUGUUUCGGCAAGGGGGUCAUCCCGACUUACCAACCCGAUGCAAACUGCGAAUACCGGAGAAUGUUAUCACGGGAGACACACGGCGGGUGCUAACGUCCGUCGUGAAGAGGGAAACAACCCAGACCGCCAGCUAAGGUCCCAAAGUCAUGGUUAAGUGGGAAACGAUGUGGGAAGGCCCAGACAGCCAGGAUGUUGGCUUAGAAGCAGCCAUCAUUUAAAGAAAGCGUAAUAGCUCACUGGUCGAGUCGGCCUGCGCGGAAGAUGUAACGGGGCUAAACCAUGCACCGAAGCUGCGGCAGCGACACUAUGUGUUGUUGGGUAGGGGAGCGUUCUGUAAGCCUGUGAAGGUGUACUGUGAGGUAUGCUGGAGGUAUCAGAAGUGCGAAUGCUGACAUAAGUAACGAUAAAGCGGGUGAAAAGCCCGCUCGCCGGAAGACCAAGGGUUCCUGUCCAACGUUAAUCGGGGCAGGGUGAGUCGACCCCUAAGGCGAGGCCGAAAGGCGUAGUCGAUGGGAAACAGGUUAAUAUUCCUGUACUUGGUGUUACUGCGAAGGGGGGACGGAGAAGGCUAUGUUGGCCGGGCGACGGUUGUCCCGGUUUAAGCGUGUAGGCUGGUUUUCCAGGCAAAUCCGGAAAAUCAAGGCUGAGGCGUGAUGACGAGGCACUACGGUGCUGAAGCAACAAAUGCCCUGCUUCCAGGAAAAGCCUCUAAGCAUCAGGUAACAUCAAAUCGUACCCCAAACCGACACAGGUGGUCAGGUAGAGAAUACCAAGGCGCUUGAGAGAACUCGGGUGAAGGAACUAGGCAAAAUGGUGCCGUAACUUCGGGAGAAGGCACGCUGAUAUGUAGGUGAAGUCCCUCGCGGAUGGAGCUGAAAUCAGUCGAAGAUACCAGCUGGCUGCAACUGUUUAUUAAAAACACAGCACUGUGCAAACACGAAAGUGGACGUAUACGGUGUGACGCCUGCCCGGUGCCGGAAGGUUAAUUGAUGGGGUUAGCGCAAGCGAAGCUCUUGAUCGAAGCCCCGGUAAACGGCGGCCGUAACUAUAACGGUCCUAAGGUAGCGAAAUUCCUUGUCGGGUAAGUUCCGACCUGCACGAAUGGCGUAAUGAUGGCCAGGCUGUCUCCACCCGAGACUCAGUGAAAUUGAACUCGCUGUGAAGAUGCAGUGUACCCGCGGCAAGACGGAAAGACCCCGUGAACCUUUACUAUAGCUUGACACUGAACAUUGAGCCUUGAUGUGUAGGAUAGGUGGGAGGCUUGGAAGUGUGGACGCCAGUCUGCAUGGAGCCGACCUUGAAAUACCACCCUUUAAUGUUU
rnacentral:rRNA from 1 species